rnacentral:misc_RNA from 1 species
AAGUCGUAACAAGGUUUCCGUAGGUGAACCUGCGGAAGGAUCAUUAACACGUAUCCAAACGUUAAACCCCCCUGUGAACCUUCAGUCGUACUCGUACGUCCGUUAGAAAAAGCAGCAAUCCCUGGUAAAUCAUCGCCGACAAAGUUUUCGAUUCAGGGAGCGUGCAUGUUGUGCGUGUAAGUGGCCUGGUUAGUGUCUGAAAGUGUCACUAACAUGUGUAAGGAUGACGCAGUCACGAUCUUGGAGGCCCACACGGCCGACGACCGGGUCACUGGGUGAAAGCCCCCUUAUCACACCCCUGCUCUAUCUAUGGUGAUCCUGCGGGAAGUCCUGCGGUCGAACGCCGAAACCGAACAAGUUAACAAUGGAUAUCUUGGUUCUC